rnacentral:rRNA from 1 species
AGAGUUUGAUCCUGGCUCAGGACUAACGCUGGCGGCGUGCCUAACACAUGCAAGUCGAACGAAGGUAGCAAUACCUUAGUGGCAGACGGGUGAGUAACACGUGGUCAACCUACCUCUGUGUGGGGGAUAACUAGCCGAAAGGUUAGCUAAUACCGCAUACGAUCGUUUUGAGGCAUCCCGAGACGAUGAAAGGAGCAAUC